UAAGACCGAGCACCGAGACGAGCCUUUAUGGCGAAGUCACUGAUACCACGCUUCCAGGAAAAGCUCCUAAGCUUCAGCUUACGCAGACCGUACCGUAAACCGACACAGGUGGGUAGGAUGAGAAUUCUCAGGCGCUUGAGAGAACUCGGGUGAAGGAACUAGGCAACAUGGCACCGUAACUUCGGGAGAAGGUGCACCCUUUUUGGUGGCUCGUGCGAGCUAUAGCUGAAGAGGGUCGCAGUAACCAGGCCGCUGCGACUGUUUAUCAAAAACACAGCACUCUGCAAACACGAAAGUGGACGUAUAGGGUGUGACGCCUGCCCGGUGCUGGAAGGUUAAUUGAUGGGGUCAGCCGCAAGGCGAAGCUCUUGAUCGAAGCCCCAGUAAACGGCGGCCGUAACUAUAACGGUCCUAAGGUAGCGAAAUUCCUUGUCGGGUAAGUUCCGACCUGCACGAAUGGCGUAACGACAGCGGCGCUGUCUCCACCCGAGACUCAGUGAAAUUGAAAUCGCUGUGAAGAUGCAGCGUUCCCGUGGCAAGACGGAAAGACCCCGUGAACCUUUACUAUAGCUUUACACUGAACGUUGAGUUCGUCUGUGUAGGAUAGGUGGGAGGCUAUGAAACUGUGGCGCUAGCUGCAGCGGAGCCAUCCUUGAAAUACCACCCUGUCGUGCUUGACGUUCUAACCUGGGCCCAUUAUCUGGGUCGGGGACCGUGUAUGGUGGGUAGUUUGACUGGGGCGGUCUCCUCCUAAAGAGUAACGGAGGAGCUCGAAGGUACGCUCAGCGCGGUCGGACAUCGCGCACUGUGUGCAAAGGCAUAAGCGUGCUUGACUGCAAGAUCGACGGAUCAAGCAGGUAGGAAACUAGGACUUAGUGAUCCGGUGGUUCUGUAUGGAAGGGCCAUCGCUCAACGGAUAAAAGGUACUCCGGGGAUAACAGGCUGAUACCGCCCAAGAGUUCAUAUCGACGGCGGUGUUUGGCACCUCGAUGUCGGCUCAUCACAUCCUGGGGCUGUAGUCGGUCCCAAGGGUAUGGCUGUUCGCCAUUUAAAGUGGUACGCGAGCUGGGUUCAGAACGUCGUGAGACAGUUCGGUCCCUAUCUGCCAUGGGCGUUGGAGAUUUGAGAGGGGCUGCUCCUAGUACGAGAGGACCGGAGUGGACGAACCUCUGGUGUUCCGGUUGUCACGCCAGUGGCAUUGCCGGGUAGCUAUGUUCGGAAGCGAUAACCGCUGAAAGCAUCUAAGCGGGAAGCGCGCCUCAAGAUGAGAUCUCCCGGGGCACAAGCCCCCUGAAGGAACCAUGUAGACUACGUGGUUGAUAGGUCAGGUGUGUAAGUACAGCAAUGUAUUGAGCUAACUGAUACUAAUGAUCCGUGCGGCUUGACCAUAUAACCUCA
rnacentral:rRNA from 1 species